AUCGGAGGGUGCAAGCGUUAAUCGGAAUUACUGGGCGUAAAGCGUGCGUAGGCGGCUAUGUAAGACAGAUGUGAAAUCCCUGGGCUUAACCUGGGAACUGCGAUUUGUGACUGCAUUGCUAGAGUGUGGUAGAGGGAGAUGGAAUUCCGCAUGUAGCAGUGAAAUGCGUAGAUAUGGCGACGGAACACCAAUGGCGAAGGCAAUCUCCGUGGACCUGCACUGACGCUCGAUGCACGAAGCGUGGGGAGCGAAACAGG
rnacentral:rRNA from 1 species